AAACUGCCUGAUGGAGGGGGAUAACUACUGGAAACGGUAGCUAAUACCGCAUAACGUCGCAAGACCAAAGUGGGGGACCUUCGGGCCUCAUGCCAUCAGAUGUGCCCAGAUGGGAUUAGCUAGUAGGUGGGGUAAUGGCUCACCUAGGCGACGAUCCCUAGCUGGUCUGAGAGGAUGACCAGCCACACUGGAACUGAGACACGGUCCAGACUCCUACGGGAGGCAGCAGUGGGGAAUAUUGCACAAUGGGCGCAAGCCUGAUGCAGCCAUGCCGCGUGUAUGAAGAAGGCCUUCGGGUUGUAAAGUACUUUCAGCGAGGAGGAAGGCAUUAAGGUUAAUAACCUUGUGAUUGACGUUACUCGCAGAAGAAGCACCGGCUAACUCCGUGCCAGCAGCCGCGGUAAUACGGAGGGUGCACGU
rnacentral:rRNA from 1 species